GAUGAACGCUGGCGGCGUGCCUAAUACAUGCAAGUCGAGCGAACAGACGAGGAGCUUGCUCCUCUGACGUUAGCGGCGGACGGGUGAGUAACACGUGGAUAACCUACCUAUAAGACUGGGAUAACUUCGGGAAACCGGAUCUAAUACCGGAUAAUAUAUUGAACCGCAUGGUUCAAUAGUGAAAGACGGUUUUGCUGUCACUUAUAGAUGGAUCCGCGCCGCAUUAGCUAGUUGGUAAGGUAACGGCUUACCAAGGCGACGAUGCGUAGCCGACCUGAGAGGGGGAUCGGCCACACUGGAACUGAGACACGGUCCAGACUCCUACGGGAGGCAGCAGUAGGGAAUCUUCCGCAAUGGGCGAAAGCCUGACGGAGCAACGCCGCGUGAGUGAUGAAGGUCUUCGGAUCGUAAAACUCUGUUAUUAGGGAAGAACAAAUGUGUAAGUAACUAUGCACGUCUUGACGGUACCUAAUCAGAAAGCCACGGCUAACUACGUG
rnacentral:rRNA from 1 species